rnacentral:rRNA from 1 species
AGAGUUUGAUCCUGGCUCAGGACGAACGCUGGCGGCGUGCCUAACACAUGCAAGUCGAACGAGAAUCUUUGAAAUGAUUCUUUCGGGAUGAAUUCCAAAGAGGAAAGUGGCGGACGGGCGAGUAACGCGUGAGUAACCUGCCCAUAAGAGGGGGAUAAUCCAUGGAAACGUGGACUAAUACCGCAUAUUGUAGUUAAGUUGCAUGACUUGAUUAUGAAAGAUUUAUCGCUUAUGGAUGGACUCGCGUCAGAUUAGAUAGUUGGUGAGGUAACGGCUCACCAAGUCAACGAUCUGUAGCCGAACUGAGAGGUUGAUCGGCCGCAUUGGGACUGAGACACGGCCCAGACUCCUACGGGAGGCAGCAGUGGGGAAUAUUGCGCAAUGGGGGCAACCCUGACGCAGCAACGCCGCGUGCAGGAAGAAGGUCUUCGGAUUGUAAACUGUUGUCGCAAGGGAAGAAGACAGUGACGGUACCUUGUGAGAAAGUCACGGCUAACUACGUGCCAGCAGCCACGGUGAAACGUAGGUCACAAGCGUUGUCCGGAAUUACUGGGUGUAAAGGGAGCGCAGGCGGGAAGACAAGUUGGAAGUGAAAUCUAUGGGCUCAACCCAUAAACUGCUUUCAAAACUGUUUUUCUUGAGUAGUGCAGAGGUAGGCGGAAUUCCCGGUGUAGCGGUGGAAUGCGUAGAUAUCGGGAGGAACACCAGUGGCGAAGGCGGCCUACUGGGCACCAACUGACGCUGAGGCUCGAAAGUGUGGGUAGCAAACAGGAUUAGAUACCCUGGUAGUCCACACCGUAAACGAUGAUUACUAGGUGUUGGAGGAUUGACCCCUUCAGCGCCGCAGUUAACACAAUAAGUAAUCCACCUGGGGAGUACGACCGCAAGGUUGAAACUCAAAGGAAUUGACGGGGGCCCGCACAAGCAGUGGAGUAUGUGGUUUAAUUCGACGCAACGCGAAGAACCUUACCAAGUCUUGACAUCCCUUGACGAACAUAGAAAUAUGUUUUCUCUUCGGAGCAAGGAGACAGGUGGUGCAUGGUUGUCGUCAGCUCGUGUCGUGAGAUGUUGGGUUAAGUCCCGCAACGAGCGCAACCCUUAUGGUCAGUUACUACGCAAGAGGACUCUGGCCAGACUGCCGUUGACAAAACGGAGGAAGGUGGGGAUGACGUCAAAUCAUCAUGCCCUUUAUGACUUGGGCUACACACGUACUACAAUGGCGUUAAACAAAGAGAAGCAAGACCGCGAGGUGGAGCAAAACUCAGAAACAACGUCCCAGUUCGGACUGCAGGCUGCAACUCGCCUGCACGAAGUCGGAAUUGCUAGUAAUCGUGGAUCAGCAUGCCACGGUGAAUACGUUCCCGGGCCUUGUACACACCGCCCGUCACACCAUGAGAGCCGGGGGGACCCGAAGUCGGUAGUCUAACCGCAAGGAGGACGCCGCCGAAGGUAAAACUGGUGAUUGGGGUGAAGUCGUAACAAGGU